rnacentral:rRNA from 1 species
GACGAACGCUGGCGGCGUGCUUAACACAUGCAAGUCGAACGGAAAGGCGCUGCGUUUGUGGGGUGCUCGAGAGGCGAACGGGGGAGAAACACGUGAGGAACCUGCACUUGACUGUGGGAGAAAUUCAGGAAACUGGGGCUAAUACCGGAGAGGAGCUCCUGCUGCAUGGUGGGGGUUGGAAAGUGUCGGCGGUUGGGGAUGGACUCGCUGGUUAUGAGCUUGUUGGUGAGGUAGUGGCGUACCAAGGCUUUGACGGGUAGCCGGCCUGGGAGGGUGACCGGCCUCAUUGGUACUGCGAUACGGCGCAGACGCGUAUCGUCGGCAGUAGUGGGAAAUAUUGCACAAUGAGCCGACGCCUGAUGUAGCAACGCUGCGUGCGGGAUGAUGGCUUUUGGGUUGUAAACAGAUUUCGCCUGUGAUGAGGCGUGAGUGACGGUAAUGGGUCAAGAAGCCCCGGCUAACUACGUG